GAUGAACGCUGGCGGCGUGCCUAAUACAUGCAAGUCGAGCGAACAUACGAGGAGCUUGCUCCUCUGACGUUAGCGGCGGACGGGUGAGUAACACGUGGAUAACCUACCUAUAAGACUGGGAUAACUUCGGGAAACCGGAGCUAAUACCGGAUAAUAUAUUGAACCGCAUGGUUCAAUAGUGAAAGACGGUUUUGCUGUCACUUAUAGAUGGAUCCGCGCCGCAUUAGCUAGUUGGUAAGGUAACGGCUUACCAAGGCAACGAUGCGUAGCCGACCUGAGAGGGUGAUCGGCCACACGGGAACUGAGACACGGUCCAGACUCCUACGGGAGGCAGCAGUAGGGAAUCUUCCGCAAUGGGCGAAAGCUUGACAGAGCAACGCCGCGUGAGUGAUGAAGGUCUUCGGAUCGUAAAACGCUGUUAUUAGGGAAGAACAAAUGUGUAAGUAACUAUGCACGUCUUGACGGUACCUAAUCAGAAAGCCACGGCUAACUACGUG
rnacentral:rRNA from 1 species